rnacentral:rRNA from 1 species
CCUACGGGUGGCAGCAGUAGGGAAUAUUGCGCAAUGGGGGAAACCCUGAUGCAGCGACGCCGCGUGAGUGAUGAAGGAUUUCGGUAUGUAAAGCUCUGUCAGCAGGGAAGAAAUAGCGACCUUUUAGUCGCCCACGUGUACCUGGUACCGAAUCAGCGGCUAACUACGUGCCAGCAGCCGCGGUAAGACGUAGGAGGCAAGCGUUAUCCGGAUUUAGUGGGUGUAAGGGGAGAGUAGACGGCAGCGCAAGUCUGAAGUGAAAUGCCGGGGCUCAACCCCGGAACGGCAUUGGAAACUGUGAAGCUAGAGUGCAGGAGAGGUAAGUGGAAUUCCUAGUGUAGCGGUGAAAUGCGUAGAUAUUAGGAGGAACACCAGUGGCGAAGGCGGCUUACUGGACUGUAACUGACGUUGAGGCUCGAAAGCGUGGGGAGCAAACAGGAUUAGAUACCCCUGUAGUC